CAGCAUGGGGGAAUAUUGCACAAUGGGCGCAAGCCUGAUGCAGCCAUGCCGCGUGUAUGAAGAAGGACCUUCGGGUUGUAAAGUACUUUCAGCAGUGAGGAAGGUGGGUAUGUUAAUAGCAUAUUCAUUUGACGUUAGCUGCAGAAGAAGCACCGGCUAACUCCGUGCCAGCAGCCGCGGUAAUACGGAGGGUGCGAGCGUUAAUCGGAAUUACUGGGCGUAAAGCGCAUGCAGGUGGUUUGUUAAGUCAGAUGUGAAAGCCCGGGGCUCAACCUCGGAAUUGCAUUUGAAACUGGCAAACUAGAGUACUGUAGAGGGGGUAGAAUUUCAGGUGUAGCGGUGAAAUGCGUAAGAGAUCUGAAGGAAUACCGGUGGCGAAGGCGGCCCCCUGGACAGAUACUGACACUCAGAUCGCGUAAAGCGUGGGGAGCAAACAGGAUUAGAUACCCUCGGUAG
rnacentral:rRNA from 1 species